UCUCGCUUAUCACGAGCAGUUUCCUUAGGGUGCCCAGCAUAACCUGAUGGUAACUAAGGAUGAGGGUUGCGCUCGUUGCGGGACUUAACCCAACAUCUCACGACACGAGCUGACGACAGCCAUGCAACACCUGUCUCUGAUCCGGCCGAACCGAAGGAAGCUAUAACACUUCCGGCUAUCAGGAUGUCAAAAGGUGGUAAGGUUCUUCGCGUUGCAUCGAAUUAAACCACAUGCUCCACCGCUUGUGCGGGUCCCCGUCAAUUCCUUUGAGUUUUAAUCUUGCGACCGUACUCCCCAGGCGGCAUGCUUAACGCGUUGGCUGUGGUACUGAGGCUCAAGGCCCCAACACCUAGCAUGCAUCGUUUACGGCGUGGACUAC
rnacentral:misc_RNA from 1 species